rnacentral:rRNA from 1 species
UACGAAGGGGGCUAGCGUUGUUCGGAAUUACUGGGCGUAAAGGGCGCGUAGGCGGCGUGUCAAGUCAGGCGUGAAAGCCCCGGGCUCAACCUGGGAACCGCGCUUAAGACUGGCAUGCUCGAGUUCGGGAGAGGAUGGUGGAAUUCCCAGUGUAGAGGUGAAAUUCGUAGAUAUUGGGAAGAACACCGAUGGCGAAGGCAGCCAUCUGGACCGACACUGACGCUGAGGCGCGAAAGCGUGGGGAGCAAACAGG